GUCUUUUUGAUAAUGAUUUAAGGUUUGGUCUGCUCACUGAUGAUAUAUGUAAAGAGCCGCGGUAUUUUGACCGUGCAAAGGUAGCGUGAUAAUUAGUUUUUUAAUUGAAAGCUGGAAUGAAUGAUUUGACGAGAAAAUAGCUGUCUCUAAUUAAUAAAUAGAAUUUUAUGUUUGAGUUAAAAAUCUCAAAUAAGUUCAAGGGACGAGAAGACCCUAUAGAGUUUUAUAUUUUAAUAUUAUUUAUUUAUUUAUGUAUUUAAAUUUAAUUUUUAUUAAAAUAUUUAAUUGGGGUGAUUUAAAGAUUUAAUUAACUCUUUAUUUUGUGUUUUACAGGGAUUUUUGGUUUUUAUGAUCUAUAGAAGUAACGGAAAGAUUAAAUUACCUUAGGGAUAACAGCGUAAUUUUUUAUUAAGUUCUUAUUAUUAUAAAAGAUUGCGACCUCGAUGUUGGAUUAAAAUUUAAAUUAGGUGUAGGUGCUUAAUAUUGAGUCUGUUCGCACUUUUAAAAUUUUACA
rnacentral:rRNA from 1 species